GCAAGUUACAGUAGCAGUCAAGUCUGAGAGCGUGCACUGGUGCUGCGCUUUACCGCAUCCACAACCCCACAGAACCGCACCAGGGCCUGGGUGGCAACUACCCAGGC